CCCCGCUGCCGUGACACCCCCCGGCCCCCAUCCCGCUGCCAUCACGCCUCCCGGCCCCCGCACCCUUGUCUGUGUCCCACAGCACAGGACCUGUCAGCGAGCGUCUGGCGCCUUCCUCCCUCCCCUGCAGAGACCCGCCAGGCCCCUCCAACAGGUGCUUUCUAAACUGCAAUUUCCUCAUCUACAAAAGGACAAUCACAACAACGGAACCCAGGGGACAGGACUGCAUCAACUACAACCAGACGGCGUAGACGGCAGCACACGGCCCUCGGCAAAUCAGAGGUGCUCAGUGACCACAGCCACCAUGACAGCAGGGCGGGGCGGGGGGCAAGGAAGCAGCGCUGGGAGACUUGGAGACACCCCAAAAAACGCCUUCCUCAGAAACACUGCUGUGCAAGAACCUGCAAAUCCCUAAGGCGUCUGUGUCCGAUGGCCCCGGCCCCAUGCUCUGAGGUCGCGCAGGUGUCCAAGGCCAGGAGGGGCACCGAGGAGACGAAGAAGAAACAGCACAGCAGCUGGGGAGGUUUUCUGUGCCUGUUUUCGGUGAGCACAGAACAACUGAAGGAAGCGCGGGACAGACACAAGGGCGGGCCUCGGUGCCACGGCUGGCCUUGGGCAGAGGGAAAUGCUUUGUGUACUUUCUCUGGGAAGCAGCAGCCCCAGCGCGGCCUCGGCGUCCUCUGCCGCCAACUGCUCCGUGACCGCUGGGCGUGUGUGCGGGGACAUGGGAGCAACUUCACAGUGGUGGGAAGUUUCUCUCCUAAAACGAAAGCUUCUCUAUACUACAGAUUGGCCCCAUUAAAUAAAAGAAAAUACGGUGUAUUUUUACAGCGUUUGGGAUUGGAAAUGACUGAGAUUCACGGUGGCUCUAGUCCUGUCUCCUGAAGACGGAGCUGGACGAGGUCUGCGGACAGUCAGAAAACACGUCAGGGUUUUGGCUCAGCUGCCAGAUAUGCAGCUAUGGUGGGAUUUCUGCGGCAGGGCAAGGAAGUGGAGACAGUUCGCGUGGCAGAGCACAGCGGGUGCCCUAUAGUGGGCACGCCUGGAGAGCGUAUAUUUUCACAGGGCCCGAAACCUGAAUGGAGGAUUCUUUCCACCAGCUGCGGGGUGGGGGGGGGCUCAGGCACAUCAGUUUUCCCACCCAGAAGACGAAGGCCUGCGAAGGGGGCCCCAUGAGGCCUGGGAAGGGGGCCCCGUGAGACCUGGGGUUAAAUCUUCCACAGCAAGCAGGGACCCCAGCCAGGCUCUGCACAAGGCAGGCGCUGCGCUCAGGUGGGAGUCCUGUGAGAUGCUCCUGCACCCCACACUCCCGUGACCACAGGCGAGGCCUAACGCCCCCCACGCCGGUUCAUCUCGUCUCCUCAAACUCCCACCAAGAUGCUCACGACAGGGCCCAAAUGCACUCCCGGGGGGUUGGCUAGUCUGCAGGAUCACAGGCUGGCCCAGUGAAAACCUGGGCUUCGCUGCCUUACAACCAUGCAGAACUCAUAGCCAGGCCAUGUGCCCACCUGCCCACUGGGACCCCGGGACAGUGCCUGCUCCAGACAGAGGCUGGGAGCUCUGUGAGGGGCACAUGGAGUGAAGCAGAGCCUGCGGCUCACCUGUUUGGCUCUGGCUGGCCAGGUGCCCCCUCAAGCCCCAGCUCAGCCUUCCCCCAAACACUCAGCUCCAUCCCCCACCCCAGCGGGUCAGGGCUCCAUCAAGACUGCUGGUGAAUGGCCGGCUGAGGAGGCAGCGAGGCAGCGGGUCAGGGCUCUGUCAAGACUGCUGGUGAAUGGCCGGCUGAGGAGGCAGCGAGGCAGCGGGUCAGGGCUCUGUCAAGACUGCUGGUGAAUGGCCGGCUGAGGAGGCAGCGAGGCCUUUGGAGAGGGAGGGCCAGGGUCACAAGACCAGCAGGGCACAAAGGUGGCUACGGGAGGAGCAGGAAGUCAACAGCCGCAAACAAACCUCCCAAGCCACUCGAAGCUGACAUCCGCAGGCCACAGGGACACACCUGAGGCUGCGGAGGGGCGGCCACAGACCUUCACAGCCAUCCUGGGUCCCCAGGCAGGCAACGCCCGGCUGCUCGUCUGCUGUCCACCUCCCUAUGGGGACACCUCAAAUCACACGAGAAUUGUGACCUCAAAAGCUUAUGCUGCUUUUGCACAGAAACAGUGACGUGUGAACCAUCCUGGGAUGGUAUGAAAGACAAGCGCAGGUCUGGAAAAGCAGUUCAGAAGCCACUCAACUGUCUACGCUGGGGAGACGGUUUCGUGAGCUACCACCACAGCCUAUAACUACUUAUCCAUUAAAAAUGAUAAUAAAACCCAGGAAGAGGCCGGGAAAACAUUCAAUAAACCAGCGUGCUGAGGGAAUCUGCACAACCCCCCUCCCUGCCCAAUGUAGACGUGUGACGGGAAGUGGCAGGGGCAGCAGCUCCUCUGAGGGGCCCCGUGGCAGGCAGGCCCUGGCGGGGGCUGGGAGGGCUCAGGGGCAGGGGUGACUCCCAGAUGCCCUCCAGAGGGUCCAGGGCCCUGCAGGAGCCACCAGCCCUCACCACUGGAGUCCCCGGCCUCCCAGCUCUGGGGAAGCAGCCCUGGAGAAGUGGCGCCCAUGCUUUCUAGAACCUCUCUGAAGGGUUGUUUAAGCAGCGAGGGCCCAUGCUGCCGUCAAGAACACACAAUUCUCAAGGUCCCGGCUUUGGGGAGUUCCCCCAGGCCCCGAACCUGACCUUGGCAGCCCCUCUGCGUGGCUCAGGAACGAGUCCCACAAGCCCCUGGCUCUUGGCCGGAAACCGGCCACCAAAACAGACUGUGAAGGGCCAACCCCUCCUCCCAGGGAAUUCCAGGGCUCAGUAGGACCCUUUGCUUUCCCUGGGGUUAGAAGGACAGGUGCUGGCAGAAACGCAAAACAGAGUGGCCACUUUGGCAGCUUUGUAUGAAGCUAAAUGUGCACACACUGUAAGAACCAGCGAUGCCCAAUCCUAGCGAUCCACCCAAAAUAAAAUUACGCUCACAUGAAACCCUGUAUGUGAACAUUUAAAGCAGCUUUAUAAUAGACACAAUCUGGAAAGAACUCAAAUGUCGCUCCCACGAUGGCGGGACACAGACCGCGGCACAGCCCCCCGUGCUCAGUGGCGAGCAGCCACGGCCACCUGGUGUGCACGACGUGACACACCAUCUCAAGCGCAGGAGGCACGGGGACAGCCAGGCUCGGAGGCUGCACACGCACAGGUGCCACCCGCGUGACGGUCCGGGGAGUCUGAUCACGGGAGCAGAGUGCAGCCGCACGGCCGCCAGGUUGGGUGGAGGGAGGGGCUGACCACCCAGGGACGGGCAGAGGAGUCUGGAACAGGACGGUUUGUGCGCUGCCUGCGAGCACCGUGCUUCCACGACUAGAUGCCUCUGUGGUGAAAGCCAAAAGGAGUAUUUUACUGCACACAAAUUCUCAGAAAUGAUCAUCUGAAAACUACAGGUUCUCGGCUAAGGCACCCAGGCUCAGACUGCCGACACAUCGUUAAGCAGCUGGGUACCAGCAGCAAUGACCUCAUCCCUCUGACUCCGUGACCUCGGCUGCAGAGGGUCACGGCGAAUUAUAUACACAGUGCCACGCACAUGGGAAGCUCUCAGUGAGAGAGGGUGGGCUGAGAGCCGCUUGGCCUGGGCCCUGCACCUCGUCCCACUCUGCAUGAACUGCCUUUGCGGGUAAGGUCGGGGAGAAGGUGCCAGGCUGUCAAGGCCCAGGGUGCAGGGGGCCAGGUGGGAAGAACAGGAAGGCCGGCCGAGCUGGAGCCUGCACGGCCCUGCAUUUGUUACUCUGCCUCUUAGACUAUGCAGUGGUAGCAGUGGAGGAGGGGGAGCACGCCCCCCACCCGGCAGCCCAGCAAGGCUGCAACCUGCAGCUCCCAAAGGGCUUGGUCCCUCCCCGCGUGCCGUCAUCCAGGGCCACCAGGGCCGGGGACGGUGCCGGGCAGUGCCGCUGGGAGACGGGCUUGGUGCCUAGGCCGGGUGGGGGUGAGCUAAGCACACCCAGCCCCGCUCCACCAGACUGACCUUGCCAGGCUGGGAUUUGAGAGGGCUUCGGGGAUAACUGUGAGGACCCCCUCUCCUAAGACCCCCAAGUCAGGGGGCCAUGAAAGGUGGGGGAAGGGGAACCUGUCUGGGACCACUCAGAAUUCUUCCCUUUCCUUGUAGAGCCCGAGCCCGGGCAGAAGAACCAGAACAAAACCUAAGUACAAACACGGCGGGCUCGAGCGGGGCUUGGCACGGCGCAGGGGUGGCGGCAAGGGGGCAGCCUGGACUGGAGCCAGAAAGCCUGUGCUGGCAUCCGCCACGCGGACGGGGAAGCUGAGACCCAGGGCUCAGGUCACGCUUACGUCGUUUGGUAGCCAGGUGGCCAGGCCUGGCUAUGACCGCACGGGAGAGCAGGGCGGACCCCGCGAACGGGGACAGCACCUGACGGCGACAUCCACAAACGCCGCCCCGCAGGAGCACGCACUCCCACACAAAGCGCCUGCAGCUGACAGCCGCCGGGAGGGGACAUCUGGACAGCCUCACGCAGCUUUCAGACCUGCAGUCCAUGUUAAAAGGAUCUUGUUUCCAAUUUGCCUUAAUUAAACAAACAUUCCAAACCACUUCCUCUCAGUCUGACCAUUGUUCU
rnacentral:lncRNA from 1 species